rnacentral:rRNA from 1 species
CAAAUAGAUACCCCGGUAGUCCACGCCCGUAAACGAUGUCAACUAGUUGUCGGGGAUUCAUUUCCUUGGUAACGCAGCUAACGCGUGAAGUUGACCGCCUGGGGAGUACGGCCGCAAGGUUAAAACUCAAAGGAAUUGACGGGGACCCGCACAAGCGGUGGAUGAUGUGGGUUAAUUCGAUGCAACGCGAAAAACCUUACCUACGCUUGACAUGCCAGGAACUUUCCAGAGAUGGAUUGGUGCCCGAAAGGGAACCUGGACACAGGUGCUGCAUGGCUGUCGUCAGCUCGUGUCGUGAGAUGUUGGGUUAAGUCCCGCAACGAGCGCAACCCUUAUCCUUAGUUGCUACGCAAGGGCACUCUAGGGAGACUGCCGGUGACAAACCGGAGGAAGGUGGGGAUGACGUCAAGUCCUCAUGGCCUUAUGUGUAGGGCUUCACACGUCAUACAAUGGUCGGUACAGAGGGUCGCCAACCCGCGAGGGGAGCCAAUCCCAGAAAACCGAUCGUAGUCCGGAUUGCACUCUGCAACUCGAGUGCAUG